rnacentral:rRNA from 1 species
ACGGAGGGCGCAAGCGUUGUUCGGAAUUACUGGGCGUAAAGCGCGCGCAGGCGGAUGUGGCAAGUCGGGAGUGAAAUCCCGGGGCUUAACCCCGGGGCUGCUCCCGAUACUGCUCGUCUAGGGACCGGUAGAGGCUGGUGGAAUUCCCGGUGUAGCGGUGGAAUGCGUAGAGAUCGGGAGGAACACCUGUGGCGAAAGCGGCGCACUGGACCACAACUGACGCUGAGGCGCGAAAGCUAGGGGAGCAAACAGGA